GCGCAGCUACACAUGCAGUCGAGCGGUAGCACAGAGAGCUUGCUCUCGGGUGACGAGCGGCGGACGGGUGAGUAAUGUCUGGGAAACUGCCUGAUGGAGGGGGAUAACUACUGGAAACGGUAGCUAAUACCGCAUAAUGUCGCAAGACCAAAGUGGGGGACCUUCGGGCCUCAUGCCAUCAGAUGUGCCCAGAUGGGAUUAGCUAGUAGGUGGGGUAACGGCUCACCUAGGCGACGAUCCCUAGCUGGUCUGAGAGGAUGACCAGCCACACUGGAACUGAGACACGGUCCAGACUCCUACGGGAGGCAGCAGUGGGGAAUAUUGCACAAUGGGCGCAAGCCUGAUGCAGCCAUGCCGCGUGUGUGAAGAAGGCCUUCGGGUUGUAAAGCACUUUCAGCGGGGAGGAAGGCGUUAAGGUUAAUAACCUUGGCGAUUGACGUUACCCGCAGAAGAAGCACCGGCUAACUCCGUGCCAGCAGCCGCGGUAAUACGGAGGGUGCAAGCGUUAAUCGGAAUUACUGGGCGUAAAGCGCACGCAGGCGGUCUGUCAAGUCGGAUGUGAAAUCCCCGGGCUCAACCUGGGAACUGCAUUCGAAACUGGCAGGCUAGAGUCUUGUAGAGGGGGGUAGAAUUCCAGGUGUAGCGGUGAAAUGCGUAGAGAUCUGGAGGAAUACCGGUGGCGAAGGCGGCCCCCUGGACAAAGACUGACGCUCAGGUGCGAAAGCGUGGGGAGCAAACAGGAUUAGAUACCCUGGUAGUCCACGCCGUAAACGAUGUCGAUUUGGAGGUUGUGCCCUUGAGGCGUGGCUUCCGGAGCUAACGCGUUAAAUCGACCGCCUGGGGAGUACGGCCGCAAGGUUAAAACUCAAAUGAAUUGACGGGGGCCCGCACAAGCGGUGGAGCAUGUGGUUUAAUUCGAUGCAACGCGAAGAACCUUACCUGGUCUUGACAUCCACAGAACUUUCCAGAGAUGGAUUGGUGCCUUCGGGAACUGUGAGACAGGUGCUGCAUGGCUGUCGUCAGCUCGUGUUGUGAAAUGUUGGGUUAAGUCCCGCAACGAGCGCAACCCUUAUCCUUUGUUGCCAGCGGUCCGGCCGGGAACUCAAAGGAGACUGCCAGUGAUAAACUGGAGGAAGGUGGGGAUGACGUCAAGUCAUCAUGGCCCUUACGACCAGGGCUACACACGUGCUACAAUGGCAUAUACAAAGAGAAGCGACCUCGCGAGAGCAAGCGGACCUCAUAAAGUAUGUCGUAGUCCGGAUUGGAGUCUGCAACUCGACUCCAUGAAGUCGGAAUCGCUAGUAAUCGUAGAUCAGAAUGCUACGGUGAAUACGUUCCCGGGCCUUGUACACACCGCCCGUCACACCAUGGGAGUGGGUUGCAAAAGAAGUAGGUAGCUUAACCUUCGGAGGGCGCUACCACUUG
rnacentral:rRNA from 1 species